rnacentral:rRNA from 1 species
CAUCACAUCCUGGGGCUGUAGUCGGUCCCAAGGGUAUGGCUGUUCGCCAUUUAAAGUGGUACGUGAGCUGGGUUUAAAACGUCGUGAGACAGUUUGGUCCCUAUCUGCAGUGGGCGUUGGAAGUUUGAAGGGGGCUGCUCCUAGUACGAGAGGACCGGAGUGGACGAACCUCUGGUGUACCGGUUGUUUCGCCAGAAGCAUAGCCGGGUAGCUAAGUUCGGAAGAGAUAAGCGCUGAAAGCAUCUAAGCGCGAAACUCGCCCAAAGAUGAGACUUCCCUUGUGGUUUAACCAUACUAAAGAGUCGUUCGAGACCAGGACGUUGAUAGGUUGGGUGUGGAAGGGUGGUAACACUUGAAGCUAACCAAUAC